AGAGAGAGAGAGAGAGAGAGAAUAAAACACUAUCUCCUCAAUUCUAUAGUCAAUCUCUCAAUUCAGAAAAAAAGGAAGCAGAGAAGAUCCAUAUCAAAACAGCAGAAACAAACUAUUGCUAUUGUUUACUAAGAUUUGAGGUAUUUUUCUACCAGAAUAAGACAGAAAGAAACAAAGAAGACAAAAGAAAGCCCACAAAGAUGAUCUCUGGCUCCGUUUAUUUCACAGAAGGGAAAUUGUUUAAUGAUUGCUUAUUUUGUACAAACUGUUAACAGCCCAUGAAGCCAAACAAUUCCUCCCUCUUUUCUGGCAGGGGGAAAGCCAUGGAAUCUGCUGCCAGCAUGGCCUGACCUCAUCGAACUUCUGCAAGAUUCCUGUGAACUCCAACCGGCCAGCCUGACCCCAGAGUCUUGCUAAAUUGCUGAAUUACCCAGCGGGGCUUGAAGUAGCCUUCCAGAGAGACAUGUACUACCAUGUAUGGCUAAAAGAAGACAUUUUUUAAUAAAAGAAGAAAUUCUUUGGAAAUGCUGCACAGUAGAUGAAUGUGUGGCUGUGCAUAGGGUGAACUGCAGGGUGGAACACAGAGCACAGUGGUUCAGGAGAGUAGCCCUCGGACGGAAGUGGAGACUGUGGACCCAAGAAGGAAUGGGGACAGGAAGAAGGUCGGCCAGGGACUGGCUGCAGAGAUGAGAGAAACAGCUGAGUCCAGUGAAGAUGAAAGAGGAUAAUAAUGCUGGUGCACAGUUUUGGAUAAUUCAAAACCUAAAUGUGAAAUGACAAAUAUAAAAACCAAGAGAAAAAAAAUCAACUUUGUUAUCUUGUCAUUUGUAGCAGGAGAUACUCAGACCCAUCAUUUCUGUGCAGUAAAUGCUAUCAUCUGAAUAAACUGAGUGUUUUUGCUCCUUACAUCCUACAGAUGCUUAACCUGCACGCUUUCAGUGUUUCUAGUCCAGCUAGAUCCGGCCACCAAACUGACUACUGGCCAUGCUGUUCCAGAAGUUUUAUGAAUAAGUGAAAAUACAUAUUCACAUAUGCAAGUAGAGGACAAUGGAAGAGUGAGCCAGGCAUGGGAUACGGUAAAGAAGCAGCUGGACAGGGGCUGGGGAUUUAGCUCAGCAGCAUAAGCACCUGUCUUGCAAGCAGGUGGUCGUGAGUUUGAUCCCCGGUACUGGUAAAAAAAAAAAAAAAAGAAGCAGCUGGAGAAGCAGGACAAUGCCUCACUGCAGACAGCAACAGAGUCAAGCCUCAACAUUGAUGAGCGGCAGAAUCACCUUGUGGCUUUUUAA